rnacentral:tRNA from 1 species
GAGAGUAUAGCUAAAUGGUAGAGUGCAUGCUUAGCAUGCACAAGGUCCUGGGUUCAAUCCCUGGUACCUCCA